UACAACCUAAGAUAACGAUCCCUUUGAAUUUAGUUUAGUUUGUAAAUUUUAUUGAAUCCUUCAGUUGUAAGUAGGAGAGAGUGGGAGAUGAGUAUUAACAAGAUGUUUCAUGUUUGUUCUUAGUUUUAGAAAUACAGACAAAAAAUUUUACUUGUUUGUAACCAUGAAGAAUGAAAGAGGAGGAAAGAUGAAAAUUUUUGGUAAAUCAAAUGGCAUCGAUUUGGAAAAGAAAAUUAGUUGAUUUGUUCUACUUUAGAUUAAAAUUAUUUAAUAUACAAUAUAUAAAAACAGAAUCUAGAUUAGUAAAAAGGAAUCAAAAUCGAUCAGAUUCAUUUAAUUAUUAUCAAAAAGAAAGGAAAACAAGUUGCAAAAAAAAAAAAAGAAAGGAAAACAAAGAAAUAAAAACAUAGGUUUCGAAUCCGGACUCAUGAGACAAAAUAAAAGAACACAAGCCACUGAACCUAAGAGAACCUUUAGAGUUUGGCAUCCUUAGACCAUCUUUAACCCAGGUUAUAAGUGGGUUUCUUAACCUUGGGGUCCCACAAAAACAACAAAAAUCGAUAACAGAAGUGAUGAAUUAAGGAUCGGUAAUGGGCUGUUUUCUGCACUGUUUGCGGGCUCCACCAACACAUGGCGGCCCGCAAUUGGAUUGAAUUAUAAUUUUAUUUUUUUUUUUUAGAAAAAAAGUCAAAAACUAAGAAACUUUAAAACGCAUUUAGCGUUAAAGAUGCUCUUAGAAAAUACAUAUUUUUGGCGCCUAAAGCUCUGGCUUUACGGGCUUUAGGCAAGGGCCGGGUAUGCUGACACGGAGUGUUGGACGCAAAGACACCGGAGAAAAGAGGAGAUCCCAUCACAUCGUAAGACGACACUGCCAAUACAGAUCAGUGAACUCGAACCUAGCUACCCCUAACAGCCCGUAGCCC
rnacentral:lncRNA from 1 species